UCGAGAAUAUUUCGCAAUGGGCGAAAGCCUGACGAAGCGACGCCGUGUGAACGAUGAAGGCCUUCGGGUUGUAAAGUUCUGUUGCCUGAGAGCAAGAGUAUGAAGUUAAUAGCUUUGUACGAUGAGGGUAUCAGGAAAGAAAGCACCGGCUAAUUCCGUGCCAGCAGCUGCGGUAAUACGGAAGGUGCAAGCGUUAGUCGGAAUUACUGGGCGUAAAGGGUGCGUAGGCGGGAACGAACGUCAGACGUGAAAUUUCGGGGCUCAACCCCGAAGCUGCGUUUGAAACGGCGUUUCUUGAGGACGAGCGGAGAGAAUGGAAUUCCAUGUGUAGCGGUGAAAUGCGUAGAUAUAUGGAAGAACACCGGUGGCGAAAGCGAUUCUCUAGCUUAAUCCUGACGCUAAGGCACGAGAGCAAGGGGAGCAAACAGGAUUAGAUACCCAGGUAGUCCCUGAGCGGGCUGGCAAGGCGCAU
rnacentral:rRNA from 1 species